rnacentral:rRNA from 1 species
UACGUAGGGGGCAAGCGUUGUCCGGAUUUCUUGGGCGUAAAGAGCGUGUAGGCGGCCAGGUAUGUCUGCUGUGAAAACUCGAGGCUCAACCUCGAGACGCCGAUGGAAACCAUUUGGCUAGAGUCCGGAAGAGGAGAGUGGAAUUCCUGGUGUAGCGGUGAAAUGCGCAGAUAUCAGGAAGAACACCCGUGGCUAAGGCGGCUCUCUAGUACGGUACUGACGCUGAGACGCGAAAGCGUGGGGAGCGAACAGG